rnacentral:rRNA from 1 species
UUAAAUUGAAGAGUUUGAUCAUGGCUCAGAUUGAACGCUGGCGGCAGGCCUAACACAUGCAAGUCGAACGGUAACAGGAAGCAGCUUGCUGCUUUGCUGACGAGUGGCGGACGGGUGAGUAAUGUCUGGGAAACUGCCCGAUGGAGGGGGAUAACUACUGGAAACGGUAGCUA